UACGGAGGGUCCAAGCGUUAUCCGGAAUCAUUGGGUUUAAAGGGUCCGUAGGCGGUUUAGUAAGUCAGUGGUGAAAGCCCAUCGCUCAACGGUGGGACGGCCAUUGAUACUGCUAAACUUGAAUUAUUAGGAAGUAACUAGAAUAUGUAGUGUAGCGGUGAAAUGCUUAGAUAUUACAUGGAAUACCAAUUGCGAAGGCAGGUUACUACUAAUGGAUUGACGCUGAUGGACGAAAGCGUGGGUAGCGAACAGG
rnacentral:rRNA from 1 species